GCUUUCGUGGUGUAGUGGUCAGCACGCUCGACGCGUAUUCGAGAGGUCCGUGGUUCGAGUCCCGGCGAAGGCA
rnacentral:tRNA from 1 species